GAGAGGAGAAAAGUAUCGGCUCAUCUCUCCGGCCGCAGCCUUCCUCUGGGCAUCACAAGAUCCAGUCUUCAUCGCAGUACCGCCGAGGAAGGAGGACGUCCGCUUUCUGCUCUUGUCGGGAAUCUAAGAAGGGACCAUACUUCCCUUACGGAGGAGCUGCCGAUGGUUCAUUUCUUCAUGCACAGGCAGCCAGAAGAUGGCGUGGAGCUGCAGAGGGGCUGAGGCGGGUGAGAGCAGCCGCGCUGAGAGCACUCUGAGCGGGCACACGGAGCGACUGGACGCUAUGGAUCAUGAGAGCGGCUGCCGGAAAACUGCGCGGCCGGAAAAAGCGACUCCUCGCUGGGCGCGCAUGGGAGGAUCCGGCCGGCAGGCGCGGGGAACUUUUGGAUGUGUCAGUCAAAUGGAAACGAGGAGCGACACCACAGCGUUUAUGUUUUGCCUGUAAAUCUCUGCUCUGCUUGGGGACAUAAAACGGCCCAAAUGCAAUGAAGAACGCACGUCAAG
rnacentral:lncRNA from 1 species